GUGCUGAGGGCCUCACUGGUGAUCCUGUUUGGUGAUGGUGUCCCUUCGUGUGUAGUGUCUUAUUCACUCCCCUCCUUUGUUUUGCUUUGCCCUUGUGUGUUUGGAGUGUUAAUUUUGGAUUGUGGUGCUCCCAUUUUAAGUUUAUACUUUCACCCCUCACUCACCUUGAGCACAAAUGCCCCAGCCCUGGAAUACAUGAUAAUUUAUACAAAUAGGAUAACUUUUUUAGAUUUGAAUUGUGCCCAAUAAACUGUUGUAUAUGCUUUUGGAAACACGUCUCUCGCCUGCUCAGUGUAACGAACUUGUGUCGUCCUUUUGUUUAGAUUUAGUAAUUUACCUUAUUCAUAGAUUUCUUUCUUUUCCCUGGGUGAUUUCUCCCAGGGUGGCGUUGCUGGUUUCCUUUAGUUUCUUUCUUUUUCCCCUAGUUAAAAACCAUAGAUUAUUGGGGUAGUUCCUACCCCACCUCACGCUUGCCACAAACUUGGCGUUGCUGGCAGGACUUAUACUGAAAAAAAAAAGGCAGAGACGUGUGUUCCUUUGUUUUUGUUGUUUGUUUUUUGUUUUUUUGAAUAAGACAAAGCAGCAGCAGUCCCCUGGCAACCAUGGAGGAAGAAAUGCAAGAGUUGCGAGCUCUGGUUGCGCAGUUAAAGGCUGACAAUGAGAGGUUGCGUCAAGCUUCGUUGGUGCCGCCCUCUAGUGCUACACCUUCAACCUCCUCAGUACUGCCGACUGCCCUUACUUCUGCCAGUGCCCCUGCAGCCGAGAGACGAGACCCCAGUCACGCAACGCUACAGGCGUGUAUCCCCUUCUGAUUAUGAGGCUGUCAAAGACCACAUUAAUCAGCUUCUUUCUGCUCAGGUGCUGAGGGCCUCACUGGUGAUCCUGUUUGGUGAUGGUGUCCCUUCGUGUGUAGUGUCUUAUUCACUCCCCUCCUUUGUUUUGCUUUGCCCUUGUGUGUUUGGAGUGUUAAUUUUGGAUUGUGGUGCUCCCAUUUUAAGUUUAUACUUUCACCCCUCACUCACCUUGAGCACAAAUGCCCCAGCCCUGGAAUACAUGAUAAUUUAUACAAAUAGGAUAACUUUUUUAGAUUUGAAUUGUGCCCAAUAAACUGUUGUAUAUGCUUUUGGAAA
ensembl:lncRNA